AUGAGGCUGCUGACUGGAGUAACUGUGUUUCUGACCUUGGGGACUAUAAUUGAUGCUAAGACUACCCAGCCCAACUCCAUGGAUUGUGCUGAAGGAGAAGAUGUAAACCUGCCUUGUAACCACUCUACCAUAGGUGGAGAGGACUAUAUACAUUGGUAUCGGCAAAACCCCAAUCAGAGUCCACAGUAUGUCAUUCAUGGCUUCCAAAGCACUGAGACCAACAGCAUGGCCUCACUGACCAUAGCUACAGACAGAAAGUCCAGCACCUUGGUCCUGCCCCAGGUUACCCUGAGAGACACCGCUGUGUACUACUGCAUCCUGAGGACAGAUGGACAAAGUGUAUUGAAAAGCAAGGAGAUUAUGUUGGAAAAU